CCGUGCAUUUGAAACUGUUGUUCUUGAGUGUCGGAGAGGUAAGUGGAAUUCCUAGUGUAGCGGUGAAAUGCGUAGAUAUUAGGAGGAACACCAGUGGCGAAGGCGACUUACUGGACGAUAACUGACGCUGAGGCGCGAAAGCGUGGAUUUAAAACAGGAUUAGAUACCCUGGUAGUCCACGCCCUAAACGAUGAAUACUAGGUGUGGGGGGACUGACCCCCUCCGUGCCGCAUGAAAUCCACCACGUCUUCCUCCUGGUUAGUACCGGCGCUCGGUUGAAACUGCUCUGAAUUGACGGCUACCCGCACAGGUUGCGCUCUAUGGCGUUUUUUCCAAGCAUCUCAAGAACCUUACUGAGGAUUGACAUGCACCUCAUGUAUCAAAUAUGCCUUAGGGGCACCUCAGGGAUAGUUGCUUCGGGUGGUGGAUGGUUGACCCCGGCUCGGGUCGUGACGUGGUGUCUUAUUUCCCCCCACGAGCCCCCGCUUGUGUGGGAGCCGCUCCACUAGAUCUCUCUAUAGACACUGCGGGCGGACUCCCCAGAGGAGAGAGGUAAUGUGUUAAAUGCAUCACGCCCUUUAUCCCCCCCCCUCCACACUAAAAAUAUUCGUUUUUGGCGGGGGGGAAGCACGGUCUCAAGAUGUGUUUGCUCCCUACACAGUCUCUCAUUUCAGACCGUGGGCUGCCACCCCG
rnacentral:rRNA from 1 species